rnacentral:sRNA from 17 species
GCUAUCCGCUAAACACUGGUCAACAGUGGACAAGAUAGCCAGUCUAAGUCUUUAAGGACUACGUUAUUUAGGUUAUGACACCUACAGGUGCUUUCCAGCUUGUAGCUCUGUC